rnacentral:rRNA from 1 species
GAUGAACGCUGGCGGCGUGCCUAAUACAUGCAAGUCGAGCGAACAGACGAGGAGCUUGCUCCUCUGACGUUAGCGGCGGACGGGUGAGUAACACGUGGAUAACCUACCUAUAAGACUGGGAUAACUUCGGGAAACCGGAGCUAAUACCGGAUAAUAUAUUGAACCGCAUGGUUCAAUAGUGAAAGACGGUUUUGCUGUCACUUAUAGAUGGAUCCGCGCCGCAUUAGCUAGUUGGUAAGGUAACGGCUUACCAAGGCGACGAUGCGUAGCCGACCUGAGAGGGUGAUCGGCCACACUGGAAAUGAGAAACGGUCCAGACGCCUACGGGGGGCAGGAGGAGGGAAUCCUCCGCAAUGGGCGAAAGCCUGACGGAGCAACGCGGGGGGGGGGAAGAAGGGCUUCGGAUCGUAAAACUCUUUUAUUAGGGAAAAAAAAAUGUGAAAGUAAAUAUGCACGUCUUGACGGUACCUAAACAAAAAGCCACGGCUAACUACGU